rnacentral:misc_RNA from 1 species
UUUCCGUAGGUGAACCUGCGGAAGGAUCAUUAUUGAGUUGCAAAACUCCCAAACCAUUGUGAACGUUACCUAUCCCGUUGCUUCGGCGGGCGGCCCGGGCCCCGCGCCCGGCGCCCCCCGGCCCCCCGUGGGCGCCCGCCGGAGGUAAACCAAACCCUUGAAUUGCAUGGCCUCUCUGAGUCUUCUGUACUGAAUAAGUCAAAACUUUCAACAACGGAUCUCUUGGUUCUG